UAAAAAGAGUACAUGAAGUGACAGUUGAGGACAAUGACAUGCUGAAGGAUUAUUUAGAUUUGUGGUUUAGGGUGUAUGCCAGGACACGAUCACAUACAAGUGGAUCCAACGGUCACACCAGUGUCGUUCAUGCGCCACGAAAAGUUCCAGUUGCCUUGAAAGGCAAGAUAAUCGAGGAAUUACACAGAUGGGUAAAAGAUGGAUGUAAUCGCCAGACAAACGGAACCAAAAGAUUGGAUGCAAACCAAGGUUUCGGCAGAUUAAAUUGGAUGAUGAGUGCUCCAAGAUGUGUACAUUCAACACACCCAUAGGAAGAUACCGAUUCCCACGUCUACCUUUUGGAAUGUCAUCGGCAUUAGAGUUUCAUUAAAUUGUGAAUAGGGAAGACAUGUUGUCAAAAGGAAAACACCCAAGAACGGCAGGUAGGGUGUAUGGUAAGACCCUGGCAACAGGCCAGGGGACUGCCCCUCUUGAGCUGUCUAGUCACCAGGUGAGUUGCUUUCAGUUAUUUAUGGUUGUAAGCUUUGGGGUAUUUUUUU